UAAGAAAUUUAUCAUUGCUUUCAGUUUUUUUCCCCAAAGGUCACAAUUGUUUACUCCACCUCUAUAUUAGGACUUAAAGCAUCUUUACCAGAUGGACUCUUCCCCGCUAAGAUUGAUAUGGAGGACAAGAAGUUAUGAAUGGAAGAAGAUAGCAAGGAAAUAAAUGGUGAGGAAGAUACCAAAGAGGAGGAGAAGUAGGAACGACAAAAAAUAAUGUGAAAUUUUUAGCAAUUCGAAAUAUAAAGUGAAAUUGAACCGAGUAAGAACUUUUUAUAUAUGAGAUUAGAAUAAUAAUUGUCCAUAUAUAGAUGUAGCUCAUGCAAAACCUAAGCUCCUAUAGAUUAUAUAUCUCCUAGGCCAUUCUUUUCUUGUGAAUUUGUAUUUUGAUUUUUUAAGAUAAAUUUUCAAAAAGAAUGAA